rnacentral:rRNA from 1 species
GAUGAACGCUGGCGGCGUGCCUAAUACAUGCAAGUCGAGCGAAUGGAUUAAGAGCUUGCUCUUAUGAAGUUAGCGGCGGACGGGUGAGUAACACGUGGGUAACCUGCCCAUAAGACUGGGAUAACUCCGGGAAGCCGGGGCUAAUACCGGAUAACAUUUUGAACCGCAUGGUUCGAAAUUGAAAGGCGGCUUCGGCUGUCACUUAUGGAUGGACCCGCGUCGCAUUAGCUAGUUGGUUAGGUAACGGCUCACCAAGGCAACGAUGCGUAGCCGACCUGAGAGGGUGAUCGGCCACACUGGGACUGGAACACGGCCCAGACUCCUACGGGAGGCAGCAGUAGGGAAUCUUCCGCAAUGGACGAAAGUCUGACGGAGCAACGCCGCGUGAGUGAUGAAGGCUUUCGGGUCGUAAAACUCUGUUGUUAGGGAAGAACAAGUGCUAGUUGAAUAAGCUGGCACCUUGACGGUACCUAACCAGAAAGCCACGGCUAACUACGUGCCAGCCGCCGCAGUAA